UACGGGGGGGGGCAAGCGUUGUUCGGAAUUACUGGGCGUAAAGGGUUCGUAGGCGGCCAACUAAGUCAGACGUGAAAUCCCUCGGCUUAACCGGGGAACUGCGUCUGAUACUGGAUGGCUUGAGUUUGGGAGAGGGACGCGGAAUUCCAGGUGUAGCGGUGAAAUGCGUAGAUAUCUGGAGGAACACCGGUGGCGAAGGCGGCGUCCUGGACCAACACUGACACUGAUGAGCGAAAGCCAGGGGAGCAAACGGG
rnacentral:rRNA from 1 species